GCCAGACUCCUACGGGAGGCAGCAGUGGGGAAUAUUGCACAAUGGGGGAAACCCUGAUGCAGCAACGCCGCGUGAGUGAAGAAGUAUUUCGGUAUGUAAAGCUCUAUCAGCAGGGAAGAGGAUGACGGUACCUGAGUAAGAAGCCCCGGCUAACUACGUGCCAGCAGCCGCGGUAAUACGUAGGGGGCAAGCGUUAUCCGGAUUUACUGGGUGUAAAGGGAGCGUAGACGGCGACGCAAGUCUGGAGUGAAAGCCCGGGGCCCAACCCCGGGACUGCUCUGGAAACUGCGUCGCUGGAGUACGGGAGGGGCAGGCGGAAUUCCUGGUGUAGCGGUGAAAUGCGUAGAUAUUAGGAGGAACACCAGUGGCGAAGGCGGCUUACUGGACUGUAACUGACGUUGAGGCUCGAAAGCGUGGGGAGCAAACAGGAUUAGAUACCCGUGUA
rnacentral:rRNA from 1 species